GAAGUCCCUGGCGGCCUCCCAAACCCAACCCACUAAGCCAUCACCCCAAACCCUGCACCUGCCCUGCCUCCUCCGCUGAUCUGCCCCCACUCAGUCCCGGCCGUGCUGGGACGAGUGGGCUCAAGCUGCCCACAGGAAGGCCUAGCUGCCCACAGGGGCCCCUCUGCAGCAGCCCCCCUGCAGCCCUCCACGCACCUCCUCGGGGCCAUGGGUGCACCCCCCCCACCAGGAGACCGAGCAGGGGGAGAGAUCAGCCCCAGUGCUGUAUGAGCCCUUCUGGCUCCCUGCUCUGCUCAGGCUCCUUCGGCCAAAUCCAUGUGUUUGCUGGUACGCGGUGCCCACGGACUCAGAGAGCAAAUACGACAGUCCGAAGCGCACUGCAAAGCUGAAGGAUCUGGGGGCAGUUCUCAUGGUUUGGUCAAAGGCGAUCUGGACUCUCACGACCAAGCUUUAUGCUCUUCGUGGAAUCGCAACCUGAUGAGGCCCCUCAGAUUCUCACACGUGGACACUUGAAGGGCCAGGUCGCAUCUUCUCCAGGUCUCAGACAUCGGCGAUUUGAAAUGGAGUCACUCAGCCCUUUGCAUCGACGAGGUGACAGAAGGGACAAAGGAAGUUCCCACACUUCACUUUGCAUAAUGUGGUGUCUUGUUUUUUCUGUGGGACGUGCAUACAGCUGCUCUGCCUCUUCGGGACCCACAUACCUGACUCAUGUACAUUUGUCUCCUGUUGCUUUUAUCCCGUUCUGUUUUAGCUGACUUGUUCGCAGUGCUAAAUACAAGUGUUACUUUACUCCUGUUUGAUAUCAUCUUUAAAGAGUCAAAUUUUCAUUCAUUCUUCUUGGUGGAAAACAUCAGCCCAAAGUGGAAGCUGAACCAUAAAACGUUUCCCUUUUCACACCAUGGGUUCUCUUGCUGCAGCUGUGGCAGAACAGCCUGAAAGAACAUAUGCCACGUGCCCUGGGGCUGCAGCUGGGCAGGGCGACACAGGUGUGGGCCCAGAUCAAAGCUUCCUGCCCUCAAAGCGUCCCAGUGUCUUUUGAACACCUCUGUUUGCGAUGAGCCGGUUACAGCUGAUUUCAACUACACCCCCGCCGAGGAACGCGAGGGACGCCGAAAUGGUCAGUGUUGGCCUGACGACUGCUCUCAGAGGGAGAACCCGGGAGCGACACAUCCUCACCACCCGGUCCCAUGGCCCAGAGCUUUUAUUCAUACACGAAGCCGAGCUGGUGUGAACAGCGGUGGCGAGCAGCCCUGGGGUCUCCUGAUCUCUCGGCUGGAGUUAGACCUUCCCCCCAACAACGGCACUGUGGCUCCCAGCUCUGGGCCACGCUUCUGCCUUCCCAGAGGCCGACUGCCUCCCGCAGCCACGAGCCAGACGUCCCUCACCCCCAGCCUUCUGCAGCCUGGGAAGAAGUCUUGAGGGUCAAACUGAGCAGUCACCGCUGUUGAUGCAUGCUGCCGAGUGGCAGCUGCAGUAGCAGACAAGGUAAGAUUCCCGUGAAAGUCCCCCGGGCUCCGCGGUCAGCAAUAACCUCACAAUGAGACAGACAAGGUGGCGGCUGGGCGCAGAGGCCACACACCUGGAAGGCCUCGUAGUCACCAAAGGGCCCCUGGAAGGGUAUCCACCUCCCCGGGCGGGGGUGCGUGGAGACCAGCCAGCCUGGAGCCCAUUUCACAGGUACGUCCCGUCCACCAGAGUCCAGGGGAAUCUACCUGGGCUUUAGCUCAGGACACGUCAAGGAACAGCUAUGGGAAA
rnacentral:lncRNA from 1 species